rnacentral:rRNA from 1 species
AGGCUACUGCUAUUGGGAUUCGACUAAGCCAUGCGAGUCAAGGUGUCUUCGGACGCCGGCAUACGGCUCAGUAACACGUAGGUAACCUACCCUCAGGACUGAGAUAACCCCGGGAAACUGGGGCUAAUAUUAGAUAGAUAAAAGAUACUGGAAUGUUCUUUUAUCCAAAGCUUUUGCGCCUGAGGAUGGGCCUGCGUCCGAUUAGGUCGUUGGUGGGGUAAUGGCCCACCAAGCCUGCGAUCGGUACGGGCAGUGGAAGCUGAAGCCCGGAGUUGGGGACUGAGACAAGGCCCCAGGCCCUACGGGGCGCAGCAGGCGCGAAACCUCUGCAAUGCGGGAAACCGUGACAGGGGGAUCCCAAGUGCUCAUGCAUUGCAUGGGCUGUUCUUUGGUCUAAGUAACCAGAGGAGUAAGGGCUGGGCAAGACCGGUGCCAGCCGCCGCGGUAACACCGGCGGCUCGAGUGGUAACCGUUAUUAUUGGGUCUAAAGGGUCUGUAGCCGGCCGGAUAAGUCUCUUGAGAAAUCUGGCAGCUUAACUGUCAGGCUUUCAGGAGAUACUGUCUGGCUCGAGGCCGGGAGAGGUGAGAGGUACUUCAGGGGUAGGGGUGAAAUCUUGUAAUCCUUGAAGGACCACCAGUGGCGAAGGCGUCUCACCAGAACGGACCUGACGGCAAGGGACGAAAGCUAGGGGCACGAACCGGAUUAGAUACCCGGGUAGUCCUAGCCGUAAACGAUACUCGCUAGGUGUCGGCCACGGUGCGACCGUUGUCGGUGCCGUAGGGAAGCCGUGAAGCGAGCCACCUGGGAAGUACGGCCGCAAGGCUGAAACUUAAAGGAAUUGGCGGGGGAGCACCACAACGGGUGGAGCUUGCGGUUUAAUUGGAUUCAACGCCGGAAAUCUUACCGGGACCGACAGCAAUAUGAAGGCCAGGCUGAAGACUUUGCCGGAUUAGCUGAGAGGUGGUGCAUGGCCGUCGUCAGUUCGUACUGUGAAGCAUCCUGUUAAGUCAGGCAACGAGCGAGACCCACGCCCACAGUUGCCAGCGUACUCUCUGGAGUGACGGGUACACUGUGGGGACCGCCGCUGCUAAAGCGGAGGAAGGAAUGGGCAACGGUAGGUCAGUAUGCCCCGAAUAUCCCGGGCUACACGCGAGCUACAAUGGUUGGUACAAUGGGUAUCUACCCCGAAAGGGGACGGGAAUCUCCUAAAACCAAUCUUAGUUCGGAUUGAGGGCUGCAACUCGCCCUCAUGAAGCUGGAAUCCGUAGUAAUCGCGUUUCAACAGAACGCGGUGAAUACGUCCCUGCUCCU